CCUACGGGAGGCAGCAGUGAGGAAUAUUGGUCAAUGGACGAGAGUCUGAACCAGCCAAGUAGCGUGAAGGAUGACUGCCCUAUGGGUUGUAAACUUCUUUUAUAUGGGAAUAAAAUGUUCCACGUGUGGGAUUUUGUAUGUACCAUAUGAAUAAGGAUCGGCUAACUCCGUGCCAGCAGCCGCGGUAAUACGGAGGAUCCGAGCGUUAUCCGGAUUUAUUGGGGUUAAAGGGAGCGUAGGUGGAUUGUUAAGUCCGUUGUGAAAGUUUGCGGCGCAACCGUAAAAUUGCAGUUGAAACUGGCAGUCUUGAGUACAGUAGAGGUGUGCGGAAUUCGUGGUGUAGCGGUGAAAUGCUUAGAUAUCACGAAGAACUCCGAUUGCGAAGGCAGUUCACUGGACUGCAACUGACACUGAGGCUCGAAAGUGUGGGUAUCAAACAGGAUUAGAUACCCUAGUAGUC
rnacentral:rRNA from 1 species